UAUAUUACAGUGCUUAUCCAGUGACCUUUGGGGUAUCACAAUAGCAAUGGCUAAAACAGUUUACCAAAUUGCAGUUUGAAUUCUUCUCCCACAAACUGAUCAAAUGGUAAAAUAUUUUAUCAGAUUGCUCAAGUGAAAUGUUGUUAGUAUGAAGUGAGUGCUGUAAAAUCAAAAGUAAUACUUAACAUCCAGAUCCAGUUAGUUGUUAUCUUUGUCAUUCUUUUCAAACACAAUAAUGACUUACUAUAGUACGAGUCACUGAAUAAGAAGGUCUAAUAUUGACCAGGAAAAUUCUAUCAUAAAUAGAUUUUAUAAAUAAAUAGUUCAAACC
rnacentral:lncRNA from 1 species